CCGACCUUAGCUCAGCUGGAAGAGCGUCAGACUGUAAUGGUUGACUUCAUCUGAAUGUCGUGUGUUCGAUCCACACAGGUCGGA